AAUCAAGGCAAAAAAAUGCCGCCGGGUGGACCACAAGCUCCCUACACUGGUCUUUUCUGAUGGAUCCACGUGUGAACAACUAGAUCCAUCCAAUUCAUCAAUGGCUCUAAACUACUUGGAACAUCCUGCCAAGUGACAUAUCUUUUGAGAAGCCAUGUCCACCUGUAUCAUCACUUAACCUGCAGCCUCAGUAUACCAGCGGAGAUGUCCAAACCAAAUCUUCAACCUCUGGGUAAGCCUUACGGUUAACCAUCCAUCGUUCGCGGUCAGCUGAUGAUCUUUGGACAUGUGUUGUUUAUCUGUAGCUGUUAACAGGUAGACAUGUGGAGAUGUCUGCAGGUAACCACACCUUUUUGAAGUUUCACAUUAGCCACCCUCACAUCAUGGCUCCUUUGUUCACUUAGCAAUCAGUGAUCUCAGCACCUGCAGGCUUUACAUUUGUAAUCAACCGAAACCAGCCCUGCCCUUGCUAAUGAUGACAACAACCAUUUCCCCCCCUUUGUGUGGGUGUUAUGCCAUUGCUCAGUUCUUUAGAAAUGAUAAGAAAUAGAGCUGCAUGCUGAGUGUGCUUAUCACAGAUCAACAGAACAUAAUUCAUACAGAAACAGCUUGGUUUCAUCACUUUGAAUGUGUCCUUAAAGAUAAAAAGAGACAGAAUAAAAUGUUUCCAAGUGCACUUUACCACCACUUGGCUGUGGUGAAGUUAGUCAGGGUGGAGAGUUUUUCUGAGAGCUCAGAGUGCAUUGCACUAGCAUACCGAUCCUGUUUCACACCUAAUUUACAUCCACAAGGCUUGAACUUUAUGUUUUAGAAGAAAUGGUGCACUACCAUGCAUGAAAAAA